rnacentral:siRNA from 1 species
AUACACUACUUAGGCUUUUAAGAU